rnacentral:rRNA from 1 species
GACGAACGCUGGCGGCGUGCUUAACACAUGCAAGUCGAACGAAGUGGCGAACGGGUGAGUAACGCGUAAUCAACCUGCUCUUCAGGGGGGGACAACAGUUGGAAACGACUGCUAAUACAGCAUACUGAAGGAGGGGAUUGCGUCUGAUUAGCUAGUGGGAGGGGUGAUGGCCCACCAAGGCGAUGAUCAGUCGCCGGGCUGAGAGGAUGAACGACCACAUUGGGACUGAGACACGGCCCAGACUCCUACGGGAGGCAGCAGUGGGGAAUCUUCCGAAAUGGACGAAAGUCUGACGGAGCAACGCCGCGUGAGUGAUGACGGCCUUCGGGUUGUAAAGCUCUGUUAAUCGGGACGCGGUACCGGAAUAGAAAGCCACGGCUAACUACGUGCCAGCAGCCGCGGUAAUAC